rnacentral:lncRNA from 1 species
UUUCAACUCGACAACCAAAGUGAAAAAUAAACACCAAAUAAUUGAGUUCUAACUUUGAAGAAGUUUUACUUGCAACGAAUAUAAUGAACAAGAUGGUGUAUUUCGGAUGCUUGGCUCUUGCCUCAUGUAUCGGUAUGGCUCUUGGUUACGGAAGUGUUAUGACCGGUCACAAACAGUUCGCAGCAUACCCUAACAUGGCUAACAUAGGUUAUGGGUACGUUCCCUACAUGGCUGGAUCUUCAGGAUUCGGAGGUUUCCUUGGCCACACCGGAGGAUCGACUGGUGGUAUGGGAGGAAUCUUUGGAAACAUAAUGCAGUUGUUUAUGUUUAUCUUUGUGAUCAACAUCUUGUUCUCGAGCACUGGUCUCGGCUCUGGUGGUCUUAACGUUGGCAGGAAAUCCUCACAUCAUUCUUCUGACUACGACUUCUACUGAAUAAAGAAAAAUCGAUGUUACUUCAGUUCAUCAACCAGAACAAAUGUUGCCACCAAAAGCGAAAUCAUCUGUGAUCUGAAACUGUGUUUCUUAAUUAAA